rnacentral:rRNA from 1 species
UACAUGCAAGUCGAGCGGACAGAAGGGAGCUUGCUCCCGGAUGUUAGCGGCGGACGGGUGAGUAACACGUGGGUAACCUGCCUGUAAGACUGGGAUAACUCCGGGAAACCGGAGCUAAUACCGGAUAGUUCCUUGAACCGCAUGGUUCAAGGAUGAAAGACGGUUUCGGCUGUCACUUACAGAUGGACCCGCGGCGCAUUAGCUAGUUGGUGGGGUAAUGGCUCACCAAGGCGACGAUGCGUAGCCGACCUGAGAGGGUGAUCGGCCACACUGGGACUGAGACACGGCCCAGACUCCUACGGGAGGCAGCAGUAGGGAAUCUUCCGCAAUGGACGAAAGUCUGACGGAGCAACGCCGCGUGAGUGAUGAAGGUUUUCGGAUCGUAAAGCUCUGUUGUUAGGGAAGAACAAGUGCGAGAGUAACUGCUCGCACCUUGACGGUACCUAACCAGAAAGCCACGGCUAACUACGUGCCAGCAGCCGCGGUAAUACGUAGGUGGCAAGCGUUGUCCGGAAUUAUUGGGCGUAAAGGGCUCGCAGGCGGUUUCUUAAGUCUGAUGUGAAAGCCCCCGGCUCAACCGGGGAGGGUCAUUGGAAACUGGGAAACUUGAGUGCAGAAGAGGAGAGUGGAAUUCCACGUGUAGCGGUGAAAUGCGUAGAGAUGUGGAGGAACACCAGUGGCGAAGGCGACUCUCUGGUCUGUAACUGACGCUGAGGAGCGAAAGCGUGGGGAGCGAACAGGAUUAGAUACCCUGGUAGUCCACGCCGUAAACGAUGAGUGCUAAGUGUUA